GAUGAACGCUGGCGGCGUGCUUAACACAUGCAAGUCGAACGGUGAACACGGAGCUUGCUCUGUGGGAUCAGUGGCGAACGGGUGAGUAACACGUGAGCAACCUGCCCCUGACUCUGGGAUAAGCGCUGGAAACGGCGUCUAAUACUGGAUAUGUUACGUGAUCGCAUGGUCUUCGUCUGGAAAGAAUUUCGGUUGGGGAUGGGCUCGCGGCCUAUCAGCUUGUUGGUGUGGUAAUCGCUCACCAAGGCGUCGACGGGUAGCCGGCCUGAGAGGGUGACCGGCCACACUGCGACUGAGACACGGCCCAGACGCCUACGGGAGGCAGCAGUGGGGAAUAUUGCACAAUGGCCGCAAGUCUGAUGCAGCAACCCCCCGUGAGGGAUGACGGCCUUCGGGUUGAAAACCUCUUUUAGCAGGGAAGAAGCGAAAGUGACGGUACCUGCAGAGAAAGCGCCGGCUAACUACGUG
rnacentral:rRNA from 1 species